ACAUGCCUACAACAUAGCGUUAAUGCACUGGAUCCCAUUAGAACUCUGCAGUUAAGCAUUCUCGGGCUAGAGUAGUACUGGGAUCGGUGACCGUCUGGGAAGUCCUAGUGUUUUACAUGCC
rfam:Picea glauca, whole genome shotgun sequence.